rnacentral:rRNA from 1 species
AGGACGAACGCUGGCGGCGUGCUUAACACAUGCAAGUCGAACGGUAAGGCCUUUCGGGGUACACGAGUGGCGAACGGGUGAGUAACACGUGGGUGAUCUGCCCUGCACUUUGGGAUAAGCCUGGGAAACUGGGUCUAAUACCGAAUAUGACUAUGGGAUGCAUGUCCUGUGGUGGAAAGCUUUUGCGGUGUGGGAUGGGCCCGCGGCCUAUCAGCUUGUUGGUGGGGUGAUGGUCUACCAAGGCGACGACGGGUA